rnacentral:misc_RNA from 1 species
AAGAGACGUUGCCCUUCGGGGUAUACCUCCCACCCUUUGUUUAUUAUAUACCUUUGUUGCUUUGGCGGGCCCGUCCUCGGACCACCGGCUUCUGCUGGUCAGUGCCCGCCAGAGGACCUAAAACUCUGUUUGUUAAUAUUGUCUGAGUACUAUAUAAUAGUUAUA